CGCGUGGGAAUUUACCCAGCUCUACGGAACAACUCAGGGAAACUUGAGCUAAUACCGUAUACGCCCUUUUGGGGAAAGAUUUAUCGGAGUUGGAUGAGCCCGCGUUUGAUUAGCUAGUUGGUGGGGUAAAGGCCUACCAAGGCGACGAUCAAUAGCUGGUCUGAGAGGAUGAUCAGCCACACUGGGACUGAGACACGGCCCAGACUCCUACGGGAGGCAGCAGUGGGGAAUAUUGCACAAUGGGCGCAAGCCUGAUGCAGCCAUGCCGCGUGUGUGAAGAAGGCCCUAGGGUUGUAAAGC
rnacentral:rRNA from 1 species